rnacentral:rRNA from 1 species
UACGUAGGUGGCAAGCGUUGUCCGGAUUUACUGGGCGUAAAGAGCGCGCAGGCGGUUGUGCAGGUCGCGUGUGAAAGCCCCCGGCUCAACUGGGGAGGGUCACGCGAUACUGUUCGACUUGAAGGCAGGAGAGGGAAGUGGAAUUCCCGGUGUAGUGGUGAAAUGCGUAGGUAUCGGGAGGAACACCAGUGGCGAAGGCGACUUCCUGGCCUGUUCUUGACGCUGAGGCGCGAAAGCUAGGGUAGCAAACGGG